rnacentral:lncRNA from 1 species
GGGCACAGAUAAAAGUGGAGCUGAUCUGGCUCAUGUUUGAGCAGGAGACCCAGAACCCACAGACACUCCACAUCCCUGCUCCCUGGUCGCCCUUGCACCCAAGCAGAGCCUCACAGACAUGGGUGCACAGAGUAGAGGUUAGAAACCAAAUCUCUAGUUCAGCACCAAAGGAACUGAGUCCCAGAGGAGCGAGCAAGUUGUAAAAGCAUUAGGACCCUGUUUUUAGCAUCUGGGAAGCAAGCUGGCUCCCCCAGCACUGAUAACAGGCACAGCUCAGAUGUUCUGUUCAGAAUUAAACAGAGAAUCAGAGGAAUAGAAAUGGUAUCUGGGUAAAUGUGAGAGGACAUUCUUCCCUCCUGAGUUCUUUGAAAGGUAUUUAGGAGUUCCCACCAUGACGCAGUGGAAAUAAAUCCGACUAGGAACCGUAAGGUUGUGGGUUCAAUCCCUGGCCUUGCUCAGUGGGUUAAGGGUCUGGCAUUGCUGUGAGUUGUGGUGUGGGUUGCAAAUGUGGUUCGGUCCCGAUUGCUGUGUCUGUGGUUAGACUGGCAGCUGUAGCUCCAAUGGGACCCCUAGCCUGGGAACCUCCAUAGGCCAUGGGUGUGGCCCUAAAAAGCAAAUACAUAAAUACAUAAAUAAAUAAAUAAAAUAUAUUUACCAGUUGAAGCAGAAGGGAUAACACAUCUGAUGGGGCUUUCAAUGAAUAUAUAAAUGUCCUAAGACAAAUGUGUCUUAAAGGGAGAGGUAGAUAAGGGACUUAGGGGGCUAGGUAACAACAUUCCACUUGAAAUGGUGAAGUACUGAGUGUCUGGAGGCAGAGAAAAUUUCAGCACGUGUAUUGUCUUUCUUAUCAAUAAACAAACUACACAAAGGAUCAUACGCAGAAACAUAACAGAGACACUGAAAUGAAUGUUGCCGUGGCCCAAAGGAAGGCAAACCAGGACCAUAAAACAGGACAGCAAAGCAUUAAUCAGUAGAACUAAGUCCAAACAUAUCAAUAAUUACAUUAAAUGAAAACGGUCUAAAAGCCCCAAUUAAGGACAGAGAAGAAGGUUGGAGCACUUGCUCAACCUGAUUUUAAGACUAACUAUAAAGCUGCCCGAAUCAAGCCAGUGUGGUAUUGGUGACAGGAAAGACAUGGAUCAAUGGAACAAAAAAGCACAGGGGUCUACAAAGUAGAGCCUGAAGACCAGAGCAGCCCUGAGGUCUGUUUUUGUAAGACCUUCGAGUUAAGAAUAGUUUUUACAUUUUAAAAGGAUCCUUCGUUUUUUAAAGAAAUAUGAAUGCAGUUCCCUGGGGUCCUAGUGGUGAAGGAUCUAGCAUUGUCACUGCUGUGGCUCUGGUUACAGCCGUGGUGUGGGUUUGAUCCCUGGUCUGGGAACUUCUGCAUGCUUUGGGCAUGGCCAAAACAAAAACCCCAUAGUAAAAAAGCACAGAAUCCAAUUCAAAACGGGCAAAAGACUCAAAGUGACAUUUCACUAAAAGGGUAUAAGGAUGGUAAAGAGGCAUAUGAAAAGAUGCUCCAUAGCGUAUGCAAUUAGGGCCAGACAAAUUUAAAUACAACCAAAUACAACCACACAGCUAUUAAAAUGGCUAGAAUGUGAAGAUACCAAGUGUUGGCAAAGAUACUCUGCACUGCUGGUGGGGAUGCGAAAUGGCACAGCCACUCGAAGACAGCCUGGCAGUGUUCUAUAAAGGUAGGCAGAGGAGUUCCCAUUGUGGCGUAGCAGAAAUGAAUCCGACUAGGAACCAUGAGGUUGUGAGUUUGAUCCCUGGCCUUGCUCAGUGAGUUAAGGAUCCAGCGUUGCCGUGAGCUGUGGUGUAUGUUGCAGAUGUAGCCCAGAUCUGGCGUUGCUGUGGCUGUGGUGUAGGCUGGCAGCUGCAGCUCCUAUUCUACCCCUAGCCUGGGAACCUCCAUAUACUGCAGGUGCAGCCCUCAAAAGCAAAAAACAAAAAAAACAAAAAAAACAAAAA